rnacentral:tRNA from 1 species
UCCCUGGUUGCUCAGACGGUAAAGCAUCUGUCUACAGUACAGGAGACCUGGGUUCGAUCCCGGUCUGGAGAA